rnacentral:piRNA from 1 species
UAGCAAGGAUGGUUGAGGCAGCAGG